ACGCCCUUUACAAUGUCGUCAUCACGGCAGCCGCUUCGGGCUCGCGGCGGAGGGUAGAGGAUUUCUGACAUACGGCCCGGUAUAUUUUCACAAAAUAUUAAACUGUACGAAUGACCAUCCACAUUGCAUUCGGCUAACAUCGGCGAUCCUCUGAAGAAGGAAAAUGGUUCAGAAAAAGUGGGGGUGGGGUGAGUGAGGGCUGCUGUGAGGACCCUACACUGUGGGGCAGCCACACACUGAAUGGUGUCUCCCACAAUGAAAGCGUUGGUGGAUGCAGUCUGGGCGGUAUGGAGCAUCGGGGCCUCAAUAUAUGACUACAUCCACACCAGUGCCAUGGAAGAACGCAUUCACUCACUGGAGAGUGCUAUAACUAUCCACCAGUGUGUCAUUGGCCUGCUCUCUGCUGGACUUGUGGCCCUCUUCACCUACAUUCUGCUAAGGAAGCACUGACCCAGCAUUUCAGACAUGUUUUUGUAUGCAAGACUACAUCGGUGACAUCAGGGGGAAUUCUUGAACCAUGUUGAUGCCAAGCUUUGUUCAGUUCAUUUUAAAGGGAUUUUAACAUAUCUGACUUUGACCUAAUUGAUUAUUUACUAAACUUUAUUAGUUUCCAAUUCUGUUAAAAUUUCACUACUGUAUUAUCUGGGUUGAUGUGAUUAAGUGUAAUCUGGUAAACCAAAAUAAGCGUAUCUCUAAAUUAAAAGUAGUCUUCCACCAUGACUUAUAA